UAUACGUACUUAUGUUUUAAAUAGAGUUUAAUCAAGUCUAUUGGGACAAUUUGAACCAAUUUACCGAGCAUGGCUGACGACAUAUUUAUGAUCGCGCAUAAGCAUCUCGAUUGACUUCAUUCAUUACAUUAGAUACCUACAUUGGAGGCUUAAUUUACUUACUUAGAAUUACGUACACCGGUAAUCUUAUCACUCCUACAUUAUCAGUGAUAUUAUAUCUUUAAUGACUACAAUCUAUACAUAUAUGAAUGCAACUCAAAACCCUUCCUUAUUUUUCUUUAUAGGGUAAGCUCGUGUUAAAUAACAGAAAUAAUGAUGUGAUUAGUAUAGGGUUUUUAAAUAUAUCUAUAAAGAUAUAUUUUCCUUUGCAAAAAAACUGAUUCUCCAAUUGUGACAAUUUUAACAUGGGACUAACAUGUGAUGAACCCAAUCGAUUGCAAAAAGAUUUAGCGAAAUCAGUUAAGAAUUGUUAAAGAUAUUGAUCGAGCAACGUACAGCGUUUGAACAUUCUAAUCACUGGAACUACCAAUCAGAUAUGAAAAAUACUAUUUGUGUUUAAAAGUUUAUGACCAUGAGCGAAGCCGUGGGAUACAACUAGUAAAUUGGCGAGAUGAAGUUUGAAAUAUUCAAGGCGUUAUAACGAAAAUAACCUUUGAAGAUACUACCCACAUGAAGUUAUUUAUGUAUAAAGGAUAUUCGAUUUCCAUUUGCUAUGACAUUUAAAUAUUAUACAACUUUUAUAAAUAUAUAAAUAAACAAUAGUUUGGAAAUCAUUCGUUAAAAUUAAAAAAAAGUUCAAUUGUUCCAAAAUCAAAAUAUGUAGUAAGAUUCCAAUAAUGAGUCUGGCGCCGUCGGACAGUGAUAAUUGUUCAGAUAACCAUAUCAGACGCACGGAAGCAUCAAUGUACUCCGCGAGCCAACUCCAAUUCAUUACGCUUAGAUACUUAUGCAGCAACAUAUAAUUAUUAUCAAAACCACCAUGAGUUUUGCUUUUGUAAAUAGGUGACCUCUAUGAGCCUCAACAGCGUAACUAAGCCUAUUUUUUUUAUUCGAGAUCACCGUAGCGCAACGAGACAUAAAUAAAACCAGAAUACAAUGUGUAACGUACCACAAAGUGUAAUCCACGGAUUGGGCAUUACAUCAGCGCACAAAAACUGUCAAUGCCAAUGUUACGCCUCCGAAUGGUAUACACACUGUCUUUGCGCUCCAUUCAACA